GAAAUGCGAUAAGUAGUGUGAAUUGCAGAAUUCAGUGAAUCAUCGAAUCUUUGAACGCACAUUGCGCCCCUUGGUAUUCCAUGGGGCAUGCCUGUUCGAGCGUCAUUUGUACCCUCAAGCUCUGCUUGGUGUUGGGUGUUUGUCCCGUCUCCGCGCGUGGACUCGCCCCAAAGUGAUUGGCAGCCGGCGUACUGGUCCCGGAGCGCAGCACAUGUCGCGCAAACGAGUGCCUUGGUACGGCGGCGUCCAUACGCCCCUCUCUCACGCUCUUGACCUCGGAUCAGGUAGGGAUACCCGCUGAACUUAAGC
rnacentral:misc_RNA from 1 species